GGAUGGACGCUGGCGGCGUGGAUAAGGCAUGCAAGUCGAACGGGUCAUUUUUGGUAGCAAUACCGGAAAUGAUUAGUGGCGAACGAGUUAGUAACACCUUGGCAUCUACCUCAAAGUCGGGCAUAAUCCGCCGAAAGGCGGACUAAUUCCCGAUAGCAUCAGUGUCGCAAGAUAUUGAUUAAAGGCGCAAGCCGCUUUGAGAGGAGCCUAGGUCCUAUCAGCUAGUUGGUGAGGUAACGGCCCACCAAGGCAAUGACGGGUAGGGGGUGUGAGAGCACGACCCCCAACGACGAAGCUGAGACACGGUUCGUACACCUACGGGUGGCAGCAGUCAAGAACAUUCGACAAUGGGCGAAAGCCUGAUCGAGCGACGCCGCGUGCAGGAAGAAGGGUUUCGGCCUGUAAACUGCUUUUCACCGGGAACAAGUCCGGUCUUUAUGACCGGAUUGAGCGUACCGGUGGAAUAAGAGGUUGGUAACUACGUGCCAGCACCCGCGGUAAUACGUAGACCUCAAGCGUUAUCCGGAUUUAUUGGGCGUAAAGGGUCUCCAGGUGGUUUGGUUAGUCGGGCGUUAAAUGCCACUGCCCAACGGUGGCGCCGCGCGCGAUACGGCCAGACUAGAGGAAUGGAGAGGGAGUGGGAACUCACGGUGUAGGGGUGAAAUCCGUUGAUAUCGUGGGGAACACCAAAGGCGAAGGCAAACUCCUGGCCAUUACCUGACACUCAUGAGACGAAAGCGUGGGCAGAAAAAAGGAUUAGAUACCCUUGUAUUCCACGCCGUAAACGAUGCACGCUCGUUGUUCCGAGUAUCGACCCUCGGAGUGACUUAGCUUACGCGUUAAGCGUGCCGCCUGGGAAGUACGAGCGCAAGCUUAAAACUCAAAGGAAUAGACGGGGAUUCGCACAAGCGGUGGACCAUGUGGUUCAAUUCGACGGCAACCGAGGAACCUCACCAGGGCUUGAAAUGGCAGUGACAUUCCGGGGAAACUCGGAACUUCUCACAAGGACACUGUCACAGGUGAUGCACGGCCCUCGUCAGUUCGUGAUGUGAAUUGUUCCCUUAAGUGGGGUAACGAACGCAACCCCCGUUGCAUGUUAUAUGUGUCAUGCGAGACUGCCUUCUUAUAGAAGGAGGAAGGAGGGGAUGACGCGAGGUCAGCGUGUCCCUUUGAUGCCCUGGGCUACACACGUGGUACAAUGGCGCGUACAAUGGGUCGCCAAGUCGCGAGACGGAGCUAAUCCCAUCAAAACGCGCCCCAGUUCAGAUUGGAGUCUGCAACUCGACUCCAUGAAGCCGGAAUCGCUAGUAAACGCAAAUCAGCUAUGUUGCGUUGAA
rnacentral:rRNA from 1 species